CACCUAAUUUCCAUGUUAUUUGUGUAUUUUAUUUAGUGAAAACUCCAUAAUCAAAGACUUUGCUCAAAAUGUCGUAUGGAAAACAUUGUAUGGUGAAGAACUGUGGAAACUGCUGUUAGGGAAAAAAUGGAAAAUGGAAACUGCUCUGAAGUGGAUAGAAUUUUGUGGGCGUCAAGACAUUAACUUGAGUAAAAGCUACACCAUGUACAGUGAACAUUUUACCGAAGAUUAUAGUGUUAGGCACUAUAAUCUUUGCAUUUUACUUUAAGGUAAUUUGAAGCUUUUCAUCCAGGUAAGUUGCUGUAUGCAGGAAGCAUCCCAUGCAUGAAAAGGGCCACCAAAGGAACCACAAGCGAUGGGGGGCGAGCAGUUUGAAACUGAUACAUCGAAUACUGAUGGUAAGUCUUCCUAGAUAUCUGCAAUGCAUUACUGAAUGCAUUACUCAUUUAUCAUGUAUUGAAUGCAUAUCUUUUUCAUAUGCAGAAAGCAUUCCUUUCAUGGAAGGGCCACAUGAGAUUGAAAGCGAGCAGAUUGAAAGUGUUACGACAAAUACUGAUAAUAUUCUUUCGAGUGUACCUGAAAGAAGUUCUCACACCCUGCAGAGUACUUCCAAGUCUUUCCCCAGAAGUGAUAGAAAGAUCAGAAAACUGAAAAUAACAAUCAACUCCUUGCGAUGCAAAAUAUAUGAUAUAUCGAAUAUUUGUUCAUUUAGAUUUCUGAUAAAAAUUGUACAAAUUCUAUUGAUUCAAACAAAAUGUAUUGCAUGGAGAUAUCAACUUUGAUAUAUAAUAGUUCAAUAUGUACUUU